GCUCUUAUCAACGGGUUGGCCAAGGAAGGAGGAGGUCACGCUCAGUUCAUCACAGGGACUGACAGGAUGCAACCCAAAGUGAUGCAGUCGCUGCGUU